GCGCUAGUUGUGCGAACCUUCCACGGUUUGUGCGACGCAGCUAACGCAAUAAGCGCCCCGCCUGGGGAGUACGAUCGCAAGAGUAAAACUCAAAGGAAUUGACGGGGCCCCGCACAAGCAGCGGAGCAUGCGGCUUAAUUCGACGCAACGCGAAGAACCUUACCAAGGCUUGACAUAUACAGGAAUACGGCAGAGAUGUCGUAGCCGCAAGGUCUGUAUACAGGUGGUGCAUGGUUGUCGUCAGCUCGUGUCGUGAGAUGUUGGGUUAAGUCCCGCAACGAGCGCAACCCUCGUUCUGUGUUGCCAGCAUUUAGUUGGGGACUCACAGGAGACUGCCGGGGUUAACUCGGAGGAAGGUGGGGAUGACGUCAAAUCAUCAUGCCCCUUAUGUCUUGGGCUGCACGCAUGCUACAAUGGCUGGUACAAACGGCUGCAAUACCGCAAGGUGGAGCGAAUCCGAGAAAGCCAGUCUCAGUUCGGAUUGGGGUCUGCAACUCGACCCCAUGAAGUCGGAGUUGCUAGUAAUCGUAGGUCAGCAACGCUACGGUGAAUACGUUCCCGGGGCUUGUACACACCGCCCGUCACGUCACGAGUCGGUAACACCCGAAAGUCAGUGGCCCAACCGUAAGGAGGGAGCUGCCAAAG
rnacentral:rRNA from 1 species